rnacentral:rRNA from 1 species
CAAUAGCAUAUAUUAACGUUGUUGCAGUUGAAAAGCUCGUAGUUGAACUUUUGGUAGGAGCGACCUGGCCUUGGGCGCAUGCCCUUGUUUGCCGGGUGUCGUAUCUGGCCAUCCUUUUCCGCUUCGGCGGGAAUCCUUUACUGUGAGUAAACUGGAGUGCUCAAAACAAGACGUUUGUUUGGUACAUUAAAGCAUGGAAUAAUAAGAUAGGACCUGGUUACUAUUUUGUUGGUUUGCAUAGCUAGGUAAUGAUUAACAGGGACAGUUGGGGGUAUUCGUAUUUAAUUGUCAGAGGUGAAAUUCUUGGAUUUAUGAAAGACGAACGACUGCGAAAGCAUUUACCAAGGAUGUUUUCAUUAA